GACGAACGCUGGCGGCGUGCCUAAUACAUGCAAGUAGGACGCAGUUGCGAACGGGUGAGUAACGAGUCGGUCACUGCAUAUUAGAGGGGGCUAAAUAUUGGAAACGAUAGCUAAUACUGCAUACUAGUAGAUGGACCUGCGUUGUCUUAGCUAGUAGGUAGGGUAAUGGCCUACCUAGGCAACGAUACAUAGCCGGCCUGAGAGGGUGAUCGGCAAAACUGGGACUGUGAAACGGGCCAGAAGCCUACGGGAGGGAGCAGGAGGGAAUGUUCGGGAAUGGGGGGAAACCUGACCGAGCAACUCCGCGUGAGUGAAGAAGGGUUUCGGAUUGUAAAGCUCUGUUGGUAAGUAAGCGUUACUUAACCAGAAAGGGACGGCUAACUACGUGCCAGCAGCCGCGGUAAUAC
rnacentral:rRNA from 1 species